GAGGAAUAUUGGUCAAUGGGCGAGAGCCAGAACCAGCCAAGUCGCGUGAGGGAAGACGGAUCUAUGGUCUGUAAACCUCUUUUGUCAAGGAAGAAUAAACAAUACGUGUAUUGUGUUGCCAGUACUUGACGAAUAAGCAUCGGCUAACUCCGUGCCAGCAGCCGCGGUAACACGGGGGAUGCGAGCGUUAUCCGGAUUUAUUGGGUUUAAAGGGCGCGUAGGCGGGAUGACAAGUCAGCGGUAAAAGACUGCAGCUAAACUGUAGCACGCCGUUGAAACUGUCGUCCUUGAGACGAGACGAGGGAGGCGGAACAAGUGAAGUAGCGGUGAAAUGCAUAGAUAUCACUUGGAACCCCGAUAGCGAAGGCAGCUUCCCAGGCUCGAUCUGACGCUGAUGCGCGAGAGCGUGGGUAGCGAACAGGAUUAGAUACCCUGGUAGUCCACGCCGUAAACGAUGCUCACUGGAUCUUGG
rnacentral:rRNA from 1 species